rnacentral:rRNA from 1 species
GUAGGGAAUAUUGGGCAAUGGAGGCAACUCUGACCCAGCCAUGCCGCGUGCAGGAUGACGGCCCUCUGGGUUGUAAACUGCUUUUAUACGGGAAGAAAAAAUACUACGUGUAGUAUACUGACGGUACCGUAAGAAUAAGGAUCGGCUAACUCCGUGCCAGCAGCCGCGGUAAUACGGAGGAUCCAAGCGUUGUCCGGAUUUAUUGGGUUUAAAGGGUGCGUAGGCGGAUCUUUAAGUCAGUGGUGAAAGCCUGCAGCUUAACUGUAGAAUUGCCAGUGAAACUGAAGAUCUUGAAUGUGGUUAAAGUAGGCGGAAUGUAUCAUGUAGCGGUGAAAUGCUUAGAUAUGAUACAGAACACCGAUAGCGAAGGCAGCUUGCUGAACCAUUAUUGACGCUGAGGCACGAAAGCGUGGGGAGCGAACAGGAUUAGAUACCCCUGUAGUCC